ensembl:lncRNA
GGCUGGCGUAGCGACGGUGGGCCAGCAGACAGAGUGCUGCAGUGAGGGCGAAAUACGCCCGGCUACAGCGUUGUGAUUUCUGGAUAUAAUGGGGGGGAGGGGGGGAAAACAGAAAACCGGCAGCCAUGUUGAGGAGGUCAGGGGUGCGGCCAUGUUGGGAGGGGAAGCGCUAAGGGUGGGAAAGGGUCAGGGAGCGCUUUUAGCUCACUUCCGCUUCCGGAGCGGAGAGUGGCACUUCCGGCGGGUGACCCUGGUUAGUCCUCUCGUACCGCCAUGGGGCUGCGAGACACCGUUGUUCACGCCGGGGAGCCCGAGGAGGAAGAGGAGGAGGAGCUGGUGGACCCCCUCACCACGAUCAGGGAGCACUGCGAGCAGACGGAGAAGUGCGUGAAGGCCCGGGAGCGCCUGGAGCUGUGCGAUGCGAGGGUGUCCUCUCGGUCCCACACGGAGGAGCAGUGCACGGAGGAGCUCUUCGACUUUCUGCAUGCUCGGGACCACUGCGUAAGUGCAGCGCUGCUGCGUGGCACAUCUCAACAGUGCUGGGAGCUGAAAGGCCUUCGGCUGAGCUCCUGAGCAUAAAGGCAGUCCGGGUGUGAGAAUGGGUUGCUGCUGAGUCGUGGCAGAAGGAGCACUUAAGAGCUGUGGGCUUAAUGCUUUUCUCCCUGAAGGGAGGUGGGGGUCAGCGUCUUCUCCCAGAUAACUGCGAUAGGAUAAGAGAUAACAGCCUUAAGUUGUGCCAGGGGAGUGCAGGUUGGGUAUCUGGAAGAAUUUAUUCUCAGAAGGAGCUGUGAUGCGCUGGCACAGCUGCCCAGGGACAUGGUGAAGUCACUGUCCCUGGAAUUGUUCCAGGACUGUGCAGUUGUGGCACUGAGGGAUGUGGUCCGUGGGCAUGGUGGGGUGGGUUGAGGUUGCACUGGGUGAUCUUAGAGGUCUUUUCCAACCUUAAUGAUUCUAUGACUUACCUUUUCAAGCUUGAAAGCUUUGUAAGAAAACUAGUUAAUCUACUUGAAUUAACUUGUUGCAAAAAAAUGAGGAGUGCAGAUAGGGCCAUGUGCAUUGGUGACGUGGAGAGCCAAGAGCCUGGUGGUAAAGCUGUGAUGGUUCCCAGCCCUUUUGUACUUGGAGAACUGUCACUUACUGAGCACUUUGUCUCCUUUCCAGGUUGCCCACAAACUCUUCAGUAAGCUGAAGUGAUUGCAGGAGUGAUUGUCCAUCUGCUUCCACGGUCCAUCAGAAGAGCCUCGUCGGUUGCACAGUACUGCUUCUGCCUGUUUAUUGCCAAUGUGAAGUACAGAGUGGCUUCUUGGCAGUGACUGAGCACCAGAAUGUCACUGUGUCCUCAUUGAAGAUGUGCAGCUACACAAAAACCAUGUGAAUGUUCUGUAAUUUUCCAUAUUAAACAUUUAAAGUUCCUGUGGAAAUGCCCUCAGUUUAUUUCAUAGUCCCUGUAGUGCUCAUUUGUACUGGUAGGGAGUUAUGAUGAAAGUAGUGAGGCUCAGACCUCACCCCACCUGCUUGUAUCUAGAAGAGACUUUUUCUCCCUUGUAGGAAUGUCCUUUCUGUGCACCCUUGAUGAGCAGAGGCUGGUGCCAUCUCACUGGUAAGAACUCAGCUGUUAGCAGCAGACACCACUGAACUUAUGACUAAUGCUGUUCAUUCAGUGAGUUGUGAAUAAAUUGGUCUUUCCAGAGACA